rnacentral:rRNA from 1 species
UCCAGACUCCUACGGGAGGCAGCAAUGGGGGAUAUUGGACAAUGGGGGGAACCCUGAUCCAGCGACGCCGCGUGAGUGAAGAAGUAUCUCGGUAUGUAAAGCUCUAUCAGCAGGGAAGAAAGAAAUGACGGUACCUGACUAAGAAGCCCCGGCUAACUACGUGCCAGCAGCCGCGGUAAUACGUAGGGGGCGAGCGUUAUCCGGAUUCACUGGGUGUAAAGGGAGCGUAGACGGCCGUGCAAGCCAGGAGUGAAAGCCCGGGGCCCAACCCCGGGACUGCUCUUGGAACUGUGCGGCUGGAGUGCGGGAGGGGCAGGCGGAAUUCCUGGUGUAGCGGUGAAAUGCGUAGAUAUCAGGAGGAACACCGGCGGCGAAGGCGGCCUGCUGGACCGCGACUGACGUUGAGGCUCGAAAGCGUGGGGAGCGAACAGGAUUAGAUACCCCAGUACG